rfam:Ictidomys tridecemlineatus contig036222, whole genome shotgun sequence.
GGGGGUGUGGCUCAGUGGUAGAGCGCUCACCUAGCAUGUGUGAGGCCUUGGGUUCGAUCCUCAGCACCACAU